CCUACGGGUGGCAGCAGUGAGGAAUAUUGGUCAAUGGCCGUAAGGCUGAACCAGCCAAGUAGCGUGAGGGAAGACGGCCCUAUGGGUUGUAAACCUCUUUUAUGCGGGGAUAAAGGUGUCCACGUGUGGAUGUUUGCAGGUACCGCAUGAAUAAGGAACGGCUAAUUCCGUGCCAGCAGCCGCGGUAAUCCGGAAGGUCCGGGCGUUAUCCGGAUUUAGUGGGUUUAAAGGGAACGUAGGACGGUCUUUAAGCGUGCCGUGAAAUUUUGUGGCUCAACCAGGAGAGUGCGGCGCGAACUGGAGACCGUGAGUGCGCGGAAGGCAGGCGGAAUUCGCGGUGUAGCGGUGAAAUGCUUAGAGAUCGCGAAGAACCCCGAUUGCGAAGGCAGCCUGCCGCAGCGUUACUGACGCUGAAGCUCGAAAGCGCGGGUAUCGAACAGGAUUAGAUACCCGAGUAGUC
rnacentral:rRNA from 1 species